CUUAAGCCGAAGCCCCAGGGACUGAGUCACGAAGAGACGGGAGAAGGGGUUCUUGGUGAAGUGUGGCCAGGAAGGCUCUGUAAAUAUUUGUUCAAGUGAAUCACAUAUAAUCAUAUAAUACUUUGACUUGGUAACAAUGUCUACAAUUAAAGGAGACUUAUAGCACAUUCUCUAUAGAAGAUUUUUCUAGUUCAGCCUUUCUGUUUUUAAAUCUUAUUCAAUUCACUUCAGGCAAUGUUUAUUGAGGGACUUAAACUCUAUACAAAUCAUCGUGCUAGACACCCACAGCAUAGGUUCAGUGAAAUUAUCGCUUACUGCUCCAAAAGGACGGAUGCUCAUAAAGAAAUGUUAGACUGCUACAGAAAUAAGGAGCAGGCAGAAUAAAAUGCAACCACUACUUGCCGUCAGGAUGUGGGGGAUGAACCUGACAACCCCAAGCUGGCUACAGAUUCCAGCCUCCUUCAGUGACUCUCAUAUCAGGAAACCCAACAGGCUAAACCCAGCAUUUUGCUGCUGCUGUUGUUGCUGUUUUAAGAACAAGCUGCUCAAUGUCUAUGCAUUGCCAAGGAGGGAGUGCUUUCCCUUCUCUCCAGACAGGAGGCUCCCAACAUUGAAAACAUUUCAGGGGAAAAGUAACAAAGGCCAUUCAAAUAAGAAGCCUAAAGAUCCCAGGCCACCCAGCUCCAGAAACAACAUAAGAUUGAAUUUUUGCUUCUUCGUCAUUCUGGAAAUAAAUGAGUAUGGCACAGCUAUGGCAUUAAGAGGAAAGAUAGAAUAUUCAAUAGACCUAUCAGAGGCCUUUCAUCACCCUGACGGAUGUGGGACUUAGGGAACAGUCAACAGAAUGCCUUCACCAGUGAUCAUGACCAUUUCCUGGACAGAACAAAAUGCCAACAACUUGGAUGCAGCAACUUCACAGGAACAUAUGAAAGACAUGCAACAUGGAAAACUUAUGGAAGAGCCAACUCCCAGUGAGAACCCAUGUUAAAAUAUGUUAAAUAUGGAAAAUGAUAAAAACUGAAAUCUGUGAACAGUAAUAAAUCUAGUAUUUUUUGACAGCUUACCAUUUUCUAUCUUCUCAACCAUCUUUAAAUCUUAUUAUCCUUAUUUUAUAGACAAGAUAACUGAAAAAUAGAUUUUGUGUAAUGUUCUUAAUAUUUUAUAGCUAGAGGAGACGCAGGGCUUCCCAGGUGGCAGUGGUAAAGAAUCUGCCCGUCAGUGCAGGAGAUGCAAGAGAUGUUAGUUUCGAUCCCUGCGUCAGGAAGAGCUCUUGGAGAAGGAAAUGGCAACCCACUCCAGCAUUCUUGCCUGGAAAAUUCCAUGGACAGGGAGGCUUGUGGGCUGCAGCCCAUGGGGUUGCAGAGUUGGACACGACUGAGCACAUGUGCACACACACCCCCACAUUAGUGGAUGAAGCUGGGACUUACACCCGGCAGCCUGCCUCCAGAAGCCAGGCUCUUAACCAUUGCAUUACACUGAUGAAGAGUCUCCCCCAAAAUGAAGCUGUAUGCAUGUUGCUUUCCAUGGAAUUUGAUGUUCUCUAAUCCAGCUGCCUCAGGUGACCCCAAAAAUUCCC
ensembl:lncRNA